CCCUCUUGUCCACUAAACGGAAAUCAACUUGAAGCAUGUUGCCAACAGAUAUAUCAGCUUUCUCCAGGAAGAAAUGGCACUGAUGCUCCUAGACUGGAUUUCUCAUCCUCUAAGUCAGGCCUAUCCUAAGUAGGGAAGGAGGAAAAUCAUCUUUGGCUCCCAUUCCUUUCCCCCCAGGAUGUUCAUACUAGUGAGAUCAAGGCCAAGUGAACUUCAAGGACAGCUAGGGAGGAAAAAAUAGAAAGGAUAAUGUGCACUUUCUGCAUUUCAGGGGAGGAUGUGGCAAUUGGAGAGAGAAAGUAUGAGGGUUUAGGAGGAUGAUAUGAACAGGAAAGGCCUUGGAAGCAAAGCCCCCAGGAAUGACUGGAAGACAACACUCUGCAGACCCCUUCCACAGGGUACCCCUGCUCUCCAGGAAGGGCCUUCAGGGCAGCAUUUGGAGGUGGCAUGAGCUAGCAGCGGCGUGCAGCCUGGUCACUGUCUGAUCUGGUCAGCCCAGCCGCACAGAACACCACACAGGCUCUGGCAGCUCCCUGGGAAAGAAGAAAGCAGCAUCUUGCAUGUGUGGCUUAUUCUGAAAGGAAUAGUAUCUGAGGGAUUUGAUGGACUCUGACAGGGGGAAGAAGGUAGUGAAAAAGAUGGAACAAAGAUGCCAUUUAAAAAUACUGGCUCGUGUUCAGG
rnacentral:lncRNA from 1 species